rnacentral:lncRNA from 1 species
AGAAACUGUGUAGAAGUUGGAUUGAGAAGAGCUCUUUGGGAUAAAAAAACACCAAGAAUCCCAGAAGUUCCUCAGAAAAGCAGAGUUGGUCAAAAAGGCAUUUGUGGAGCUUCAGGCGGAACACAUGAGCUCUCACCAGUGGAUCUGCACUAUGUUCCUGGCUGGCCUGCUGCCUUCUCCGAGAGAUUUCGCAUUGUAUGUGUGCCUGUGACUCUGUAUGUCUGGGUGCCUCAUGACACUUUGCAGUAGAUUGACAGAAAACAGAAGCCAGGUUCAUCAAAGCCACAGAUUUCUGAUCCAGAAUUACAGUGUCUGAUUUGUGCCAGCACAGACCUAGACUGUCCAGAUAGACUGAACAGGAGGAAAAUAUAAUGCCAAAAAGGAAGAGGCUGAAAUCUAAUUAAUCAGAAACAAAUAAGUCAUCCUAAUGGCAAUGCAGAAGUAGUAUCAAUUUAAUUUGAGAGUACCCUAUGUUCCGUAAGGAUGACAUUGUGCAGUAAUUCUGCUGCCAGUAACUGCCGUUAGAAU